UACGGAGGGUGCAAGCGUUGUUCGGAAUCACUGGGCGUAAAGGCGUGUAGGCGGUCCGCUAAGUCUGAUGUGAAAGCCCGAGGCUUACCCUCGGAAGUGCAUUGGAGACUGGCGGACUGGAGUCCCGGAGAGGAGGGUGGAAUUCCUGGUGUAGCGGUGAAAUGCGUAGAUAUCAAGAGGAACACCUGAGGUGAAGACGGGUUGCUGGGCCGAACACUGACGCUGAGACGCGAAAGCGUGGGGAGCAAACAGG
rnacentral:rRNA from 1 species